CCACACCAAAAAACUUUCCACGUGAACUGUAACCGAAUUUGUUCUUGUGCUCGCUAAGGUGGUGCUCUGCGCUGUAAUGGUGCUAAGCUGCUGCCGAGGCUUGAGCUGAACGAAGGGGAUCUCGAUUUUCGAGUGAACUGAUGUUUUAUUUUAAACCAUUUUCCUAAUACUGAUUAUUACUCCGAAGAUGAAAGUCUUUGGUUUUAAUUCCAACAACUUUCAGCAGUGGAUGUCUAGGCUCGCACAUCGAUGAAGAACGCUGCGAACUGCGAUACGUAAUGCGAAUUGCAGAAUUCAGUGAGUCAUCGAGAUUUUGAACGCAUAUUGCACUUUCGGGUUAUGCCUGGAAGUAUGCCUGUAUCAGUGUCCGUAACACAAACUUGCCUUUCUUUUUCUGUGUAGUCAGGGGAGGAAAUGGCAGAAAAUGAGGUGUCUCGAGCACUCCGCUGUAUGGCGAGUGAGGUUCGAGUCCCUUGAAAUAUAGUUUGCUCUCUGUAGUGCUUUAAUGAGUGCGAUAGCUCGAAAAGUAGCGAUUGGCUCGGAUCGCCUUGUGCUGGUUUAGCGCAUUGGUGUGGACUAUGGAGUUGGCCCUAUUUGGCGGUAUGUUGGGCUUCGGCUUGACGUUGCAGCUGAGUGGGUGAGCCGGCUUCGUCUGUACUAUUGUGUGCUUUACUGUGUAGGGCUUGAACUGGGUUUUUGAGUUACCAAGUAGGUUGUUGCUACAUUUUGGUGCCUGUCCUGUACGAAUUGUCGGGAUGGUAAAGGAGGCUUACACCUUUUGGGAACAGAAUUGCCUGUAUGGGUAGUUCAAAUUUUCAA
rnacentral:rRNA from 1 species